rnacentral:rRNA from 1 species
UGGGGAAUUUUGGACAAUGGGCGAAAGCCUGAUCCAGCAAUGCCGCGUGUGUGAAGAAGGCCUUCGGGUUGUAAAGCACUUUUGUCCGGAAAGAAAUCCUUGGCUCUAAUACAGUCGGGGGAUGACGGUACCGGAAGAAUAAGCACCGGCUAACUACGUGCCAGCAGCCGCGGUAAUACGUAGGGUGCAAGCGUUAAUCGGAAUUACUGGGCGUAAAGCGUGCGCAGGCGGUUUGCUAAGACCGAUGUGAAAUCCCCGGGCUCAACCUGGGAACUGCAUUGGUGACUGGCAGGCUAGAGUAUGGCAGAGGGGGGUAGAAUUCCACGUGUAGCAGUGAAAUGCGUAGAGAUGUGGAGGAAUACCGAUGGCGAAGGCAGCCCCCUGGGCCAAUACUGACGCUCAUGCACGAAAGCGUGGGGAGCAAACAGGAUUAGAUAUCCUGGUAGUCCACGCCCUAAACGAUGUCAACUAGUUGUUGGGGAUUCAUUCCUUAGUAACGUAGCUAACGCGUGAAGUUGACCGCCUGGGGAGUACGGUCGCAAGAUUAAAACUCAAAGGAAUUGAC